rnacentral:rRNA from 1 species
AUUGAACGCUGGCGGCAGGCCUAACACAUGCAAGUAGAACGAGUGGCGGACGGGUGAGUAAUGGCUGGAAAACUGCCCGAUGGAGGGGGAUAACUACUGGAAACAGUAGCUAAUACCGCAUACCAGCGGAUGUGCCCAGAUGUGAUUAGCUAGUAGGUGGGGUAAUGGCUCACCUGGGCGACGAUCCCUAGCUGGUCUGAGAGGAUGACCAGCCACACGGGAACUGAGACACGGUCCAGACUCCUACGGUAGGCAGCAGUGGGGAAUAUUGCACAAUGGGCGCAAGCCUGAUGCAGCCAUGCCGCGUGUAUGAAGAAGGCCUUCGGGUUGUAAAGUACUUUCAGCGAGGAGGCGUUACUCGCAGAAGAAGCACCGGCUAACUCCGUGCCAGCAGCCGCGUUAAUAC